rnacentral:tRNA from 1 species
AGGGAGGAGUUUAACAAAAUAUGGGUUUGUCGACUCCAAGAUGUCUUUGGACUUUCCUCAUCU